rnacentral:tRNA from 1 species
GGAGAGGUGUCCGAGCGGUUUAAGGAGCUGGUCUUGAAAACCAGUGACACGGCAACGUGCCGCGGGUUCGAAUCCCGCCCUCUCCGCCA